rnacentral:tRNA from 1 species
GCUGCUGUAGCUCAGUUGGUAGAGCGCGUCCUUGGUAAGGACGAGGUUCAUGGGUUCGAAUCCCAUCAGCAGCU